rnacentral:rRNA from 1 species
AUACGGAGGACGCGAGCGUUAUCCGGAUUCAUUGGGUUUAAAGGGUGCGCAGGCGGCCGUGCAAGUCAGCGGUGAAGGCCCGGGGCUCAACCCCGGAAGUGCCGUUGAUACUGCGUGGCUGGAAUGCGGUCGAGGCGGGCGGAACGUGGCGUGUAGCGGGGGAAUGCGUAGAUAUGCCACAGAAAGCCGAGAGCGGAGGCAGCUCGCCAGGCCUGCAUUGACGCUCGGGCACGAAAGCGUGGGGAUCGAACAGGAUUAGAUACCCUGGUAGUCCACGCCGUAAACGAUGGGCGCUCGUCGUCGGCGACAGACAGUCGGCGGCCAAGCGAAAGCGAUAAGCGCCCCACCUGGGGAGUACGGUCGCAAGGCUGAAACUCAAAUGAAUUGACGGGG